rnacentral:rRNA from 1 species
GUAACACGUGAGCAAUCUGCCCCUGACUCUGGGAUAACUCCGAGAAAUCGGUGCUAAUACCGGAUACGAACCGAGACCGCAUGGUCAUCAGUUGGAAAGAACUUCGGUCAGGGAUGAGCUCGCGGCCUAUCAGCUAGUUGGUGAGGUAAUGGCUCACCAAGGCGACUACGGGUAGCCGGCCUGAGAGGGUGACCGGCCACACUGGGACUGAGACACGGCCCAGACUCCUACGGGAGGCAGCAGUGGGGAAUAUUGCACAAUGGGCGCAAGCCUGAUGCAGCAACGCCGCGUGAGGGACGAAGGCCUUCGGGUUGUAAACCUCUUUUAGCAGGGAAGAAGCGAUAGUGACGGUACCUGCAGAAAAAGCACCGGCUAACUACGUGCCAGCAGCCGCGGUAAUACGUAGGGUGCAAGCGUUGUCCGGAAUUAUUGGGCGUAAAGAGCUCGUAGGCGGUUUGUCGCGUCUGCUGUGAAAAUCCGAGGCUCAACCUCGGACCUGCAGUGGGUACGGGCAAACUAGAGUGCGGUAGGGGAGAUUGGAAUUCCUGGUGUAGCGGUGGAAUGCGCAGAUAUCAGGAGGAACACCAAUGGCGAAGGCAGAUCUCUGGGCCGCAACUGACGCUGAGGAG